rnacentral:rRNA from 1 species
CCCUUAGACGUUCUGGGCCGCACGCGCGCUACACUGACCAGUGCAACAAGCAUCCGUCCUUGGCCGACAGGCCCGGGCAAUCUUUGAACGCUGGUCGUGAUGGGGAUAGACUUUUGCAAUUUUUGGUCUUGAACGAGGAAUUCCUAGUAAAUGCAAGUCAUCAGCUUGCGUUGAUUACGUCCCUGCCCUUUGUACACACCGCCCGUCGCACUUACUGAUUGGAUGACUCGGUGAAGAAUCGGGACCGUGAGAACAAUCGAUUCAUUUCGAAUGUACUUGUGGGAACCUUUCUUAACCUCGUUUUCUAGAAGAAGGUGAAGUCGUAACA